rnacentral:lncRNA from 1 species
GUAGAACUGAGUAUAAAUAUGCAAUCUUUUUAUCAGAGAUUAAUUGAAACUUUCUGUAGGUCGUGGCAAAUUUACGUUUUCCAUAUGAAGAAAUUAUCAGCUUUGGCUAGAUAAAUUUUUCCAAACGAGUUAAAAGAAAAUUACUAUCCUGCACCACCCAUAUACUUUCAUGUCUAGACCUCCUUCGAAAGCAGACUAAACAUAAUAUCAGGGUACAAUUUCUGCAUGCACUUCUAUAAUGCGAUUA